GAACACAGUAGUGCGGAUAAUAGUUCCGGUUAUUAUUAUUAUUAUUCCGCGGUUUGGUAAUUUUGUAACGCUGUCGUCUCAACUUCCGUUUACUGAUCCUGAAUCAGAUUUGGGAUAUCUGUUUACUGUCCCCACUAUGGAUGAGAAAUCGUCCAAGCUGAUUCAGAGUCUGUUUCCUGCCGGAAACCCCUCCACGUCCGCCAAGCCAACAGCGUCCGGUCGCUGAGAACACAAACAAGAUGGCGACCAAGAUUUAACAGAGGAAAUCUUUUCAACAACAGGUGGUAAACUCCGAAUCAACAUCUGUCUGUCUGUCUUCGGGAGAGAGAUCUAAACUGCCAUCCUGGAAGUCGUCCACCGCCCUGUCCCCCUAUCAUUCCACUGGACUGUUGUGAAGACUUCCUCCACCGUCAUGUCUACCGCUACAGUAGCAGACAGAGGUUCCGUCCGUCCAGUCAGG